AUACGAAGGGUGCAAGCGUUACUCGGAAUUACUGGGCGUAAAGCGUGCGUAGGUGGUUGUUUAAGUCUGUCGUGAAAGCCCUGGGCUCAACCUGGGAAUGGCGAUGGAAACUGGGAGACUAGAGUGAGGCAGAGGGUAGUGGAAUUCCUGGUGUAGCAGUGAAAUGCGUAGAGAUCAGGAGGAACAUCCGUGGCGAAGGCGACUGCCAGGGCCAACACUGACACUGAGGCACGAAAGCGUGGUGAGCAAACGGGAUUAGAUACCCUGGUAGGCCGCGCGCUAAACGAUGCGAACUGGAUGUUGGGUGCAAUUUGGCACGCAGUAUCGAAGCUAACGCGUUAAGUUCGCCGCCUGGGGAGUACGGCCGCAAGGUUGAAACUCAAAUGAUUUGGCGGGG
rnacentral:rRNA from 1 species